AUAUGGCAGAGUUUAUGUGCUAGUGUUCAAAUACAGUAACCGGAACGCCACAGUGCUCGAUCUCUAUGAAUUGCCAUUUGAUGCGGCUACAGGACCCAGUUUCAAGCAUUCAUUAAUUUUAGGAUUCAAUGGUGGCUGUGGUAUUCAUGUAAUCGAUAAUUUGGUCGUUGUACAUCACCAGGCGUCGCAAAAAUCGCUGAUUUUUGAUAUAAGAGUCAGCUCGCCGAGCAAGAGUCAUUCACCUCUUGUUGUCACCACAAUAGAAUCCCAUCCACAACACCAGCCACCUCCAGCUCUCUACACCAAUUUCUGGUUCACCUUCCUCCCCGACAUCGUCAUUGAUUCGUCUGGCGGUGUGAUGUACUCGAUUCGUCUGAAAAAUGAGCACGCUCAACUCGAAAUCGCCGACAAACAAACGAUGCUCGAAUAUUUGGCGAGACGGAGCAACGAGAAGAAGCUGUUCGUGACGACAUUGUUGGCUUGCCUCAAAGCUCGCGCUCUGUCUCUCCGACAAAUCCGGAAAGUAUUCGCAAUGCUCACAGGAGUUACUGGAAAAUCGUCUGCUAGUGAAAAUUCAGUUGAAAAUGGCUCUGGAAGUAGCCAGAAGCCCGUAUUAGACUGCGAGAAAUACGCGAGUUUGGCAGUGACGCAGCAGGAAAUGCAAAGCUCUGUUCUCAUUCCAUUGAGGGAAGAAGUAUCGCUACCCGAAUCAUACGUGGCAAAUAUUAUGCUCCAGUAUCUACGGUCGCUCUUCGACGCAGAAAUAACGCCAGAAGCCUACCUAAUUGAAAUGGUCGUUGAGACACUGGCCGAAGCUGGCGAGAUGUCGAAAUUACAGCAAAUUGUCACCUAUAGGGUUAUUAACGACUCCAAACCAUUGGCAUUCUUGUUACUAUCCUACGAAGCUCGAUGCUCGACACUUUUCCAAUCGGGAGUGGAUAUUCUUGCCAGAAACAAGGCUAGCGAUGAAAUUGUUGAAGUGAUGCUCGAGAAAAAGCAAAUCGUCGACGCAUUUCGAUUUAUCGAUGUACGGAAUCUGAACGAUGCUUUGAUCCCGAAAGUUGUGGAAGCUGCCAAUCAGCACUGCGUUCGGCAGACAAGAUAUGCCAUUAAAGAGCAUUUAACAGAGAAAAAAGCUAAAGCCUCCCUCUAUAAAUCGAUUGGCGACGAGCUGUACACUGCCGAGGAAGUGAAAGGAGCCAGCGAAGAGCAGGCCACGUGUGCUCUGUUUGAGAUUUAAUUUGGUUUUUAUUUCAUUUGUCUGGUAAAUUAAUGGUGCUCCCCUACUUAUGUAUAUGUGAUUUUACGGUUUUGUCGAGGUGCUAUGUAAGUGAUUUUGUCGAUAUUUUGGAUUAUUACUAUUGAAAUUGUUUAAUUUUUGCGUAAUUUGUAAAAUGAAUAAAACAUUUAUUGUA
rnacentral:misc_RNA from 1 species